rnacentral:rRNA from 1 species
UGCAGUCGAGUGCGCGUCUGUAGCAAUACAGAUGGCGCACGGCGCACGGGUGCGUAACACGUGGGUAAUCUGCCCUUCGAUGGGGAAUAACUCCGGGAAACCGAAGCUAAUUCCGCAUAACAUUCCUUGAACUUCGGUUUGAGGACUCAAAGCCGUAAGGCGUCGGAGGAGGAACCCGCGCACGAUAGGUAGUUGGCAGGGUAACGGCCUACCAAGCCUUUGAUCGUUAGCUGGUCUGAGAGGAUGGCCAGCCACACUGGAACUGAGACACGGUCCAGACUCCUACGGGAGGCAGCAGUGGGGAAUCUUGCACAAUGGGCGAAAGCCUGAUGCAGCGACGCCGCGUGGGAGAUGAAGCUUUUCGGAGUGUAAACCCCUUUCGACCCGGACGAAUGCCCCGCAAGGGGACUGACGGUACGGGUAUAAGAAGCCCCGGCUAACUACGUGCCAGCAGCCGCGGUAAGACGUGGGGGGCCAGCGUUGUUCGGAAUUACUGGGUGUAAAGGGUCAGUAGGCGGUGUGGCAAGUCGGGAGUGAAAUCUCUGGGCUCAACUCAGAGACUGCUUCCGAAACUGCUGUGCUAGAGUGUGGGAGAGGCGCGUGGAAUUGCAGGUGUAGCGGUGAAAUGCGUAGAUAUCUGCAGGAACACCCGUGGCGAAAGCGGCGCGCUGGACCACAACUGACGCUGAAUGACGAAAGCUAGGGGAGCAAACAGGAUUAGAUACCCUGGUAGUCCUAGCCCUAAACGAUCAGGACUUGGGGUGCCGCACGUUCGUGCGUCGUCCCGGAGCUAACGCGUUAAGUCCUGCACCUGGGGAGUACGGUCGCAAGACUGAAACUCAAAGAAUUGACGGGGGCCCGCACAAGCGGUGGAACAUGUGG